rnacentral:rRNA from 1 species
AACGAACGCUGGCGGCAUGCCUAACACAUGCAAGUCGAACGAGACCUUCGGGUCUAGUGGCGCACGGGUGCGUAACGCGUGGGAACCUGCCUUUAGGUUCGGAAUAACUCAGAGAAAUUUGAGCUAAUACCGGAUGAUGUCUUCGGACCAAAGAUUUAUCGCCUUUAGAUGGGCCCGCGUUGGAUUAGCUAGUUGGUGGGGUAAAGGCCUACCAAGGCGACGAUCCAUAGCUGGUCUGAGAGGAUGAUCAGCCACACUGGGACUGAGACACGGCCCAGACUCCUACGGGAGGCAGCAGUGGGGAAUAUUGGACAAUGGGCGAAAGCCUGAUCCAGCAAUGCUGCGUGAGUGAUGAAGGCCUUAGGGUUGUAAAGCUCUUUUAACCGAGAUGAUAAUGACAGUAUCGGGAGAAUAAGCGCCGGCUAACUCCGUG